rnacentral:rRNA from 1 species
CAGCAGCCACGGGAAUACGGAGGGUGCAAGCGUUAAUCGGAAUUACUGGGCGUAAGCGCACGCAGGCGGUUUGUUAAGUCAGAUGUGAAAUCCCCGAGCUUAACUUGGGAACUGCAUUUGAAACUGGCAAGCUAGAGUCUUGUAGAGGGGGGUAGAAUUCCAGGUGUAGCGGUGAAAUGCGUAGAGAUCUGGAGGAAUACCGGUGGCGAAGGCGGCCCCCUGGACAAAGACUGACGCUCAGGUGCGAAAGCGUGGGGAGCAAACAGGAUUAGAUACCCCAGUAGUCCCUGUCUCUUAUACA